rnacentral:rRNA from 1 species
UGGGGAAUUUUGGACAAUGGGCGAAAGCCUGAUCCAGCAAUGCCGCGUGAGUGAAGAAGGCCUUCGGGUUGUAAAGCUCUUUUGUCAGGGAAGAAACGGUGAGAGCUAAUAUCUCUUGCUAAUGACGGUACCUGAAGAAUAAGCACCGGCUAACUACGUGCCAGCAGCCGCGGUAAUACGUAGGGUGCAAGCGUUAAUCGGAAUUACUGGGCGUAAAGCGUGCGCAGGCGGUUUUGUAAGUCUGAUGUGAAAUCCCCGGGCUCAACCUGGGAAUUGCAUUGGAGACUGCAAGGCUAGAAUCUGGCAGAGGGGGGUAGAAUUCCACGUGUAGCAGUGAAAUGCGUAGAUAUGUGGAGGAACACCGAUGGCGAAGGCAGCCCCCUGGGUCAAGAUUGACGCUCAUGCACGAAAGCGUGGGGAGCAAACAGGAUUAGAUACCCCUGUAGUCCCUGAGCGGGCUGGCAAGGCGCAU